rnacentral:rRNA from 1 species
GACGAACGCUGGCGGCGUGCCUAAUACAUGCAAGUCGAACGCUGAAGGAGGAGCUUGCUUCUCUGGAUGAGUUGCGAACGGGUGAGUAACGCGUAGGUAACCUGCCUGGUAGCGGGGGAUAACUAUUGGAAACGAUAGCUAAUACCGCAUAAUAGUAGAUGUUGCAUGACAUUUGCUUAAAAGGUGCAAUUGCAUCACUACCAGAUGGACCUGCGUUGUAUUAGCUAGUUGGUGGGGUAACGGCUCACCAAGGCGACGAUACAUAGCCGACCUGAGAGGGUGAUCGGCCAAACUGGGACUGAGACACGGCCCAGACUCCUACGGGAGGCAGCAGUAGGGAAUCUUCAGCAAUGGACGGAAGUCUGACCGAGCAACGCCGCGUGAGUGAAGAAGGUUUUCGGAUCGUAAAGCUCUGUUGUAAGAGAAGAACGAGUGUGAGAGUGGAAAGUUCACACUGUGGCGGUAUCUUACCAGAAAGGGACGGCUAACUACGUG